GAUGAACGCUGGCGGCGUGCCUAAUACAUGCAAGUCGAGCGAACAGACGAGGAGCUUGCUCCUCUGACGUUAGCGGCGGACGGGUGAGUAACACGUGGAUAACCUACCUAUAAGACUGGGAUAACUUCGGGAAACCGGAGCUAAUACCGGAUAAUAUAUUGAACCGCAUGGUUCAAUAGUGAAAGACGGUUUUGCUGUCACUUAUAGAUGGAUCCGCGCCGCAUUAGCUAGUUGGUAAGGUAACGGCUUACCAAGGCAACGAUGCGUAGCCGACCUGAGAGGAGGGUCAGCCACACGGGAAGUGAGGCAAGGUCCAGACGACUGCGGGAGGGAGCAGUGGGGAAUAGUGGACAAUGGGAGGAAGCCUGAGCCAGCCAUACCGCGAGGGUGAAGAAGGCGUUCGGGUUGUAAAGCCCUUUUGUUGGGAAAGAAAAGCAGCAGGUCAAUACCCCGCUGUUCUGACGGUACCCAAAGAAUAAGCAACGGCUAACUUCGUG
rnacentral:rRNA from 1 species